AAAGUAGCUUAGCUUGGUAAAGCGCUUGGCUUGGGACCAAGAGACCGCAGGUUCAAAUCCUGUCUUU
rnacentral:tRNA from 1 species